AGAGUUUGAUCCUGGCUCAGGAUGAACGCUGGCGGCGUGCUUAACACAUGCAAGUCGAACGGAGAAUUGUUAUUGAGAUCUUCGGAUGGAUUUAAUGAUUCUUAGUGGCGGACGGGUGAGUAACGCGUGGAUAACCUGGCCCAUACAGGGGGAUAGCAGUUGGAAACGACUGAUAAUACCGCAUAAGCGCACGGUACCGCAUGGUACAGUGUGAAAAGUUCCGGCGGUAUGGGAUGGAUCCGCGUCUGAUUAGGCAGUUGGCGGGGUAACGGCCCACCAAACCGACGAUCAGUAGCCGGCCUGAGAGGGUGAACGGCCACAUUGGGACUGAGACACGGCCCAAACUCCUACGGGAGGCAGCAGUGGGGAAUAUUGCACAAUGGGGGAAACCCUGAUGCAGCGACGCCGCGUGAGCGAAGAAGUAUCUCGGUAUGUAAAGCUCUAUCAGCAGGGAAGAAAAUGACGGUACCUGACUAAGAAGCCCCGGCUAACUACGUGCCAGCAGCCGCGGUAAUACGUAGGGGGCAAGCGUUAUCCGGAUUUACUGGGUGUAAAGGGAGCGUAGACGGCAAUGCAAGUCUGAAGUGAAAGGACGGGGCUUAACCCUGUGACUGCUUUGGAAACUGUGUAGCUUGAGUGCCGGAGGGGUAAGCGGAAUUCCUAGUGUAGCGGUGAAAUGCGUAGAUAUUAGGAGGAACACCAGUGGCGAAGGCGGCUUACUGGACGGUAACUGACGUUGAGGCUCGAAAGCGCGGGGAGCAAACAGGAUUAGAUACCCUGGUAGUCCACGCCGUAAA
rnacentral:rRNA from 1 species